rnacentral:rRNA from 1 species
GAUGAACGCUAGCGGGAGGCUUAACACAUGCAAGUCGAGGGGCAUCACGAGGUAGCAAUACUUUGGUGGCGACCGGCGCACGGGUGAGUAACACGUAUGCAACCUUCCCUGUACAGGGGGAUAACCCGGAGAAAUUCGGACUAAUACCCCAUGAUGAUAUUAUGGGGCAUCCUUUAAUAUUUAAAGCUCUGGCGGUACAGGAUGGGCAUGCGCGACAUUAGCUAGUUGGUAAGGUAACGGCUUACCAAGGCGACGAUGUUUAGGGGACCUGAGAGGGUUGUCCCCCACACUGGUACUGAGACACGGACCAGACUCCUACGGGAGGCAGCAGUGAGGAAUAUUGGUCAAUGGGCGGAAGCCUGAACCAGCCAUGCCGCGUGCAGGAUGACGGCCCUACGGGUUGUAAACUGCUUUUCCCCGGGGCGAAUAACCCCCUCGCGAGGGGGAUGCCGGUACCGGGGAAUAAGGAUCGGCUAACUCCGUG